rnacentral:lncRNA from 1 species
UUUUUUUUUUUUUGAAUAAAUCUGGCAUGCAUUUAUUAUAGUCAAAUAAAAUAGAAAAGAAACAACCUAGGGGAAUCUAUCCCAUAAUGUGCAUCACACACCACUAAAAAUUGCAAAAAAUAAAAUAAAAAUAAAAUGAAAACACUAGGAUAAAGCAGUUGAAAAGACGCAAACAUUCUUCACAGCUAGAAAUGCAUGCCCAGAAAAGCUCCAACGCCACAAGCGUAAGUCACCGAUCAAAACAAGGUUGAAGCUGAAACAAUAAUUGCUAGAAAGGAACCAGAUCUAGCAAGAAUCGUGAGGUCCGUAAUCAUAACCACAAAAUCAGACCCUCCCCUUUCGAUCACUAUCCAACAUCGCCUGAAUUGAUGUUCGUCUCUCCUCCACCUAAUAGACAUCCCGCCGCCAGAGGAAAAUGUACGCAACUUUAUUACCUCACCGUUUUAUGUAGUGAAACUUGAAAUGCUCAAAACCUAGCACUAAUCGUUUCACAUCCCAGAUAAUGGAACUUAUCGUCGAUUUGUCAAUAUCAGCAACAUUAAGCUUGGAGAUGAGCACCUCUGAAUCACCCUCUAGUUCAACAUUCUUAAACCCCAAAUCCUGAGCAACAUGGAUUGCCUGAACGCAAGAAAGGGCCUUCGAUGUCAGCGGACAAGAGAUGUUGUCCUGCCAGAAACAAGCCAAUCCUAAAAGCAAUCCAGCAGAAUCCCGAACAACAACCCCAACGCAGGCAGCCUGUAGAAAAAACCCGCAUCAAAAUCAACAUAGACCUAAUGAUCGAUAGGAGGCUUCCAAAGCAUAGGCUCCACAGCCAGAACCAAACCCCUAUUCGACAGAAGAAAGUUUAAUUUGCGUAGAUACCUUAAAAAAAGAUAAGUAACGUCUAAACCGAUUGAUAAAUGCCCUCAUGAACGAUUUUAUUUUGAGUGGCAAGUGCCUUGAGCAAAUCAUUGUCCAACCCAAUUAGAGGGUGUAUCAUCAACCACUGGAACAACAUCCGAACUAAUGCCUAAAUUGUGCCAAAUGUGCAGGAUUCCAGGGCAAUCGCGACAAACAUGGAGGAUGGUCUUAGGGCCACAACCACAGCGAGGACACAUAUGAUCUGACUCAAGUCUGUGUUAAUACAAGUUAACCUUUAUAGGUAGAAAAUUAUUAAUGUAAUGCCCACAUAUAAUUUUCAUUUUCUCAAGCACCUGAGCCCCCAUAGAUGCUUAUAAGGUAGGCAUGUAUGCUAUGUAAUAUUAAUGUAAUGGUCAUCAUUUGUCUCUAGGAAGCCUCACAACAGUAGCAUGUAGCCACUCCAAUCGAUAUUCACCGUUAUCCUCUAAGAACUAGCACUAAUGAUCCGAUAAAGCAUGCCCAGCCAACGAGACAUGUAGUAUGGACUGCCCAAGCAGUUCAGGAAAUAAAGACCAUAUUAACUCACUCCACCACUCGCCUUUAUCCACAUCAAUCAAAUCCACAAAUUUGUCAAUUCCACUAACAUAAUCAAUAUUGAUCUUGUAGGGUCGUGGACCGGGAAGCAAGAAUCAUCCCAUACCGAGAUGGAGUGCCCAUUCUCCACAUACUAGCCCCUUCCCAUUUUGAGGAGAUCUUUCGCAACCCAGAUACUAUGCCAAACAAAUGAAGGUUGUUGCCUUAACCCUACUUCUCUAAAAUUGCACGUAGGAAAGUAUUUAGCUUUAAGUACACACAACAUUAAAGAAUCCAAGUUAGUAAGCAAGCACCAGCCUUACUUAGCUAAUAACGCAAUAUUAACCUUCAAGAGAUCUUGGAACCCGAGCCCACCAACCUUUUUCAAAGCACACAUGCCCUCCUAAGAACACCAAUGAAUUCCCCUCCUUAAGGCUGACUUUCCCUACCAAUACCGAUAGAUUAACGCCUCCAAAUUUUUGCAAAAGAAUUGGGAAGUAAAAAAUAGAACAUCAAAUGUAACAGAAUAGCUUGUAAGAUUGAUCUAAUGAAUAUAGCCUUACCACUCUGCGAGAGGCACCGAUUUUACCAACUGCCAAUUUUUCCAAGAAAGCGAUCUUUAGUACCCUGAAACACACACUUUUUGUUACUCUCAACAAUGACAGGCAACCCCAAAUAAUUUCUAGUGUAACACCCCUAACCCAUAUCCGUCGACGGAAUAAGGUUAAGGAUUAUUACCGGAAUAUACAAAACAAAUACAGACAUUUCAUAUUAUUUAACAUUCAUGUCAGAAAUUAUUCAUAAAGUCCCUUAUAUGAGCCCUCGAGGCCCAAAACAUACAUUAGAAACAGGUUGGGACUAAAUUAGGUACUCAAAGAAUUUUUCGCAAAAUCUCAAAAUUUUUUCAAGGUGUAGGGGACACAUGUCCGUGUGGUCAGGCCGUGUCCCAGCCCGUGUCCGUACUCGUGUAACUCUCUGACUUGGAUCAUACGGCCAAGUCGCACGUCCGCUAGGACGUGCAUAGGUGUAGGGGUCACAUGGCCAAGCCACACACUCGUGUGUCAGGCCAUGUGAAAAAUAUUGAGCAUUCUUUUUUGAAUUUUAAUGAUACAGGGGACACACAGCCAAGUCACAUGCCCAUGUGCUAGGCCGUGUGUCAUACACAGCUAAGACACACGUCUGUGUCUCUAUCUGUGUGGACAAAAUUCUAAGUUAUAUUUCUCACCCAAAUUUUCCUUCCACCUACAUAAAUACUUCAACAUAUUCUCAAUCCAAGACAUUUAAACCAAGCCAAAAUCAAGUCUUAUGCAUGACAUAUCACUUCAUAAAUCUAUAUAUCCAAACUUACCUAUUUGACCAAAAAUGCAUAUAAACAUAUUUAUAAAGUUUACUAUCAAUUAACCAUACUAAACACUCAUAUCAAACAUGCCAUUAUCUCAUAUAUUUACAUCAAAACAUAUUCAUCACAAGCCAUUCCAAUGGUUAAUUACAACCAAAACAUUUAUAUGCCAAUAUUGGCUAUUUAAACCUAUACAUGCCAUUAUAAUCAAAAUUAAUUUACUAUUUAUACCUAAAUGAGCCAGUGAAUAGUGUGAGAUAUCUCUACCAAGCUUCCAACCCAACGAGCUUCUGAAGUACUAUAAAACAGAGGAAAUAAAAUAGAGUAAGCAUAUAAUGCUUAGUAAGUCCGUAUAACAUAGAAUUUAACUUACCAUUUAAUCACAUUAAAGGUAAGCACAGAAAACAUAUUCCAAACAACUUGGCCAAAAGCCUAAACACAUAUCCUUGUUAACAUGUUAGUGUAGCAACCUGAUUUUGGGCUUAAUCGGAACAGUGGUUUUGAGACCACAAAUUCGAAGUCAGAGAAUUUUUUUUAUUUUUAUUUUGAUGUUAUGCAUGAUUAUAUUAGUGUAUGAAAAAUUUGGUGAGGUAAUUUUAGCAUUUGUGAGCUUAAUUUUGAAAAAUGACUAAAUCGUAUAAAGGGGAAAAGUUGUGAUUUGCUAGCCAAAGGUGUUUAAUAGAUAGAGAGCCAUAAUUGGAGGCCUUUAAAGUGCAAUUAGACCCCCUUAAAGAGGUAUGGCCGGCCAUAGGGACAAGAAAAAUCAAUGGGUCAAAUGGUUAGGUAAAUUGAUGACCUAAUGUAUGAUAAAAUAAUACCCUAAGAGCCUAGCCUUCAUCUUUUUCAUUUUUCUUUCUCCUCCACCGAAAUUUUCAUCCAUUCUAAGGGUUUUGGAAGCUUUAACUUUUAUCUAUUCAUCUCUGUCUCAAGUAAGUGAUUUAGAUGCUCAUUUUUGAUAAUUUUGGUACUUUUGGAACCCUUAUAGCAUGAGUUAGCUAAUGGGGGGACCAUUUUGCAAAAUGAUUGAUAGUAUAGGGAUUUUACAUGAAAGGAUUUAUAAUGGUUUCUGAGUUUUUAUGGAAGAAAAUGAAUUUUUGUUGUGUAGUAAACAAUUUUUGUGAAAGAACUUCUCAUGAAAACCCUAAAAGGAUCAUUUUGUAAAGUUUGUAAAAUGGAUGGUAAUGUUCUGAAAAAAUGGGAAUUUUGGGUCACUAUAAGAGUAAAAAGGGUUUGUCUAGGCUUAAGAUUUGAAUAAAUUCGUUAAAAAUUGAUUUUCGAACCUAGGAGUAAAUUGGUCAUCUUGUGAAAGCCUAAGGGCAAAAUGGUCAUUUUGCCAAAAAUGUGAACUUAUCAUUGCUUAAAUUUAUUUAGAGGUUAAAUGAGUGAAUUUUUAUUAUUUUAGAUCAAGAAACACAAAAACAGGACUUGGACCAGGGGAAGGCCAAGCAAGUAGAGUAUAUAGUCUAGCCGCCUACAUUUUUUAAUCCGAGGUAAGUUGUAUGUUAAUAAUGCAACUAUAUUGCUAUGAUGUAUGAAUGAAUUGAUAUUGCGUAAAAUGUUUGAUUUUGAUUAUGAGAAUGCAUGUCGAAAAAUUAAUGUAGUAAAGACUUCCGAUUGAAUAUUUGGAAUAUACUUGGAUAUUCAUACCAUGACAUUGUGUGGUAUGUGAGCUAGUGUAAGACAUGUCUGGAACAUGUAUCAGCCAUAUUAUGAAAACCAGUGUAAGACAUGUCUGAGACAUGCAUCGGCAUUGAGACAAGAGCUAGUGUAAGACAUGUCUGGGACAUGCAUCGACCUCGGGAUAUUCAAGCUAGUGUAAAACUUGUCUGGGACAUGGCGUCAGCUUGUUGUGUGUCAGUGUAAGAUCUGUCUGGGACAUAGCAUCGACACUGAUAGAUGAGAGCCAGUGUAAGGCCUGUCUGGGACAUGGCAUCGGCCUCGAUAUACAAAAGUCAAUUUAAGACCUGUCUAGGACACGGCAUCGACUUUAAUGUACUAGCCAGUGUAAGACCAUGUCUGGGACAUGGCGUCGGCAUCUUAUCCCAUGUUUGGGGUUAUUGAGUGUCCUGUAAUAUUUCAAAUAGUUCAACGAAUAAUUUUUCAAUUUUAUAUCAAAAUGAGAAAAGUUAUGAGCAUGUGGUGAAUGGUACAGGUAGCUACUUGAAAUGUAUGAGAUGUGGACUCAGUACAUGCUAUAUGAAUGGUAUUGGAUAGUGAUGAAUAAGUUGAGCUUAUGUUUAUUUAUUGUAUUCGAGAACAAGCUAUGAAAAUUGUUAUGAGUAUAUUGUGAUUUGAUGAUUAGUUGAUGUUUAUUUUCAUGCAACUUACUAAGCUUUAUGCUUACCUCUUUUUCUUUUCCAUUUUCUUAUAGUGCCGCCAAAGUAGCUCGUGGAUCAUCGCCUACAUCGGAGAAGUCAAUCACACUAUCAUUUGAAGCACUUGGUAUAGUUAGUUCUUUUAUUUGAGUAUGACAUGUAUAGGAUCUUUUAAUUUUAUUUUAGUGUCACAUUGUUUUGGGGCCAAAUGUAUUGGCUUACUUUAGUAUUUGACUCAUUUUGUAUAAGGCCAUGAAAGAAGGCUAAUAUUGAAAGUUGUUUUAUGAAUACGAGAAGGUCUUUCAGGAAUAAGGAAUAGUUGGUAUGGUUGACCAUGUGAAUUUCAAUGUUUGAAUAGCAAAAUGCAUUAAUUGGUUGCUUAGACA